UUACACGUUUGAAACAUCAUAAAUUAACCAAGUUCAAAUUUUCUGCAAAAACAUAAGUCGAUCUAUAAAUCAGGUACACAACAGUCUGCUAACAACAGUAGUUUCCUGUUUCCACAAAGAGCCAAAUCAACAUUGGAACCGAAAACACUCAUAGUGAUUAUGCUUGUUUCAUAGAUUUUCAGAUGCAAAUUUAUGUUUAGAAUAAAUUACAAAAAUAGUCCUUGUGCUUUACGAUUUUUAGCAUCUUUAGUCCAAAAAUUGUAACUUUUUUCAGUUGUGGUCCUUAUUUCAAGGUUUAUAUUGCUUUGGGUUCUUAUUUCAAAGUUAUCGAUAUGAAACCUUGGACCAAAUGUGAUGCUUGUUUCCUAAAUUUUCAGAUGAAAGUCUAUAUAUAGAAUAAAUUACAAAAAUGGUCCCUGUGCUUUCUGAUUUUUAACACCUUUAGUCCAAAAAUUGAAACUUUUUUUUUGUCAGUUUUAGUUCUCAUUUCAAGGUUUAUAUUGCUUUGGGUUCUUAUUUCAAAGUUAUCAAUAUGAAGCAUUGGACCAAUCAAGUUUCAUAAAUUUUCAGAUGAAAGUUUAUAUAUAGAAUAAGUUACAAAAAUGGUCCCUGUGCUUUCCAAUUUUUAGCAUCUUUUGUCCAAAAUUGAAACUUCCUUCAUUUUUGGUACUUAUUUCAAAAUUAUCGAUAUGAAACCUUGUACCAAAUACAAUGCUUGUUUCAUAAAAUUUUCAGAUGAAAGUAUAUAUUUAAAAAAAGUUACAAAAAUGGUCCGUAUGCUUUCCAAUUUUUAGCAUCUUUAGUCCAAAAUUGAAUCCUCCUUCAUUUUUGGUCCUUAUUUCAAAGCUAUCGAUAAGAAACCUUGGACCAAAUACGAUGCAUGUUUCAUAAAUAUUUCAGACGAAAGUAUAUAUUUAAAAAAAGUUACAAAAAUAGUCCCCAUGCUUUCCAAUUUUUAGCAUCUUCAGUCCAAAUACGAAUCGAUAUGAAACAUUUUACCAAAACCGAAAAAUAUUUAAACUUUGAACUGAACAUGGUAAAAAUCAGAAAAAGUACAGGGACCAUUCUUGUAAUUUACUCAAGUUUUUUUCAAAUUAAAC
rnacentral:lncRNA from 1 species